rnacentral:misc_RNA from 1 species
UAAUCAGUACUAGAGAUCAAACAACUUAAUAGUAGUUGAGCUUAGAAUUUCAAAGUGUUUUCUUUUGCAUUGGAGGACAUUGUGUCUUGUAAUGUUCCCACAAAGGUGUUUCAAUGUCUUAAAAGCCAUCCUAGAAAAGGAGAAGGGUCCCAAAAAGAGAGAAUAGAGGAAGGAAGAUAGUGCUCCAUCAAUGGCAGAUGCCAUCUGCUCUUUAGAGCCUUGGAGAAGCAAAAGCUGAAAUCAACUAUUAAACAGGGGUCGAUGCAUAUUGGUCUGUGUAUCAAUGAGAAAGCAAAUAGGGUUUUAGUGUACAUGAGAGCCAUUGAUAAGUUGGUGGUAGAAGUGACAGCAACACGACUCAAAUUUGUCCUUGCUUGACAGGGGACCAACCUAGUGUAGUGCUAACAAGUUUUAUUGUCAUAUGAGAAAGGAAAGUGAAAUUGAUUCUUCAAUUCGAGGAAGGUGUUAAGCAAGCUUAAGGAAAUUGAUGUGUGUGGGAAGGAUGAAUCCAAAACCACAUGUGUGACAUGGUAUAAGUAUAUUUAAAAUUCUUGUUAUACCUUUUUAACUAACAAAUGCUUUGGAUAUCUUUGUACUUCAAUGAACCAGGUAUUUCGCAUUUAUCUCGACAAGUUGUGGUGGUCCACCUUGACGAUACCAUAGUGUAUAAGUAAACUCUAGAGGAACAUCUCCGCUUUGCUUUGAGAAGUUGUAAGGGAAUAAGCACUUUUACAAGAGAGAGAAAGGCAUUUUGAAGCAACCAAAAGUCAAGUUCUUCAGGCAUAUGUUUAACCAAGACAAGAUUCCUCUAGCAUACCACUUCAUAAAGAAGUAAGAAGCAAGAUGCAAGGAUUGCAAUACUUUAUUUGGAGUCUUAUGGAAAGUCAUUCA